rnacentral:rRNA from 1 species
AGAGUUUGAUCCUGGCUCAGGAUGAACGCUAGCGGCAGGCCUAAUACAUGCAAGUCGGACGGGAUUGGAGAGCUUGCUUUCCAUGAGAGUGGCGCACGGGUGCGUAACACGUAUGUAACCUACCUUUGUCAGGGGGAUAGCCUCUCGAAAGAGAGAUUAAGCCCGCAUAAAAUCACAGACUGGCAUCAGUUAAUGAUCAAAUAUUUAUAGGACAAAGAUGGGCAUGCGGAACAUUAGCUAGUUGGCGAGGUAACGGCUCACCAAGGCUACGAUGUUUAGGGGAUCUGAGAGGAUGACCCCCCACACUGGUACUGAGACACGGACCAGACUCCUACGGGAGGCAGCAGUAAGGAAUAUUGGUCAAUGGGCGCAAGCCUGAACCAGCCAUGCCGCGUGCAGGAAGACGGCCCUACGGGUUGUAAACUGCUUUUAUACGGGAAUAAACCUACUUACGUGUAAGUAGCUGAAUGUACUGUAAGAAUAAGGAUCGGCUAACUCCGUGCCAGCAGCCGCGGUAAUACGGAGGAUCCAAGCGUUAUCCGGAUUUAUUGGGUUUAAAGGGUGCGUAGGCGGCCUAUUAAGUCAGGGGUGAAAGACGGUAGCUUAACUAUCGCAGUGCCCUUGAUACUGAUGGGCUUGAAUGUACUUGAGGUAGGCGGAAUGUGACAAAGCGGUGAAAUGCAUAGAUAUGUCACAGAACACCAAUUGCGAAGGCAGCUUACUAAAGUAUGAUUGACGCUGAGGCACGAAAGCGUGGGGAUCAAACAGGAUUAGAUACCCUAGUAGUCC